rnacentral:rRNA from 1 species
ACAUGCAAGUCGAACGAAGACCCGGAGCUUGCUCCGGAAUUCUUAGUGGCGAACGGGUGAGUAACGCGUGGGAAUCUACCUAGAAAUGGGGAAUAACUAUUGGAAACGAUAGCUAAUACCGCAUAAUCCCUUCGGGGCAAAGGCUUCGGCCGUUUUUAGAUGAGCCCGCGUUAGAUUAGGUUGUUGGUGAGGUAAUGGCUCACCAAACCUACAAUCUAUAGCUGGUCUGAGAGGAUGAUCAGCCACACUGGGACUGAGACACGGCCCAGACUCCUACGGGAGGCAGCAGUGGGGAAUAUUGGACAAUGGGGGAAACCCUGAUCCAGCAAUGCCGCGUGAGUGAUGAAGGCCUUAGGGUUGUAAAGCUCUUUCAGAAGUGAAGAUGAUGACGGUAACUUCAGAAGAAGC